GACGAACGCUGGCGGCGUGCUUAACACAUGCAAGUCGAACGAAGUGGCGAACGGGUGAGUAACGCGUAAUCACCCUGCCCUUCAGAGGGGGACAACAGUUGGAAACGACUGCUAAUACCGCAUACUCAAGGAGGGGAUUGCGUUUGAUUCGCUGGUUGGAGGGGUAACGGCCCACCAAGGCGAUGAUCAGUAGACGGUCUGAGGGGAGUAACGGCCACAUUGGGACUGAGACACGGCCCAGACUCCUACGGGAGGCAGCAGGGGGGAAUCAUCCGCAAUGGAGGAAAGUCUGAAGGAGCAACGCCGCGUGAGUGAUGACGGCCUUCGGGUUGUAAAGAUCUGUUAAUCGGGACGCGGUACCGGAAUAGAAAGCCACGGCUAACUACGUGCCAGCAGCCGCGGUAAUAC
rnacentral:rRNA from 1 species